CGGUUUUUUCCUGUAAUCAUCUUCUCAAAAGAACAAGAGAUCCGCCGCACCCACCUCCACACUCUCUCUCGAAAUCACCUCACCCUCUCCGUCGCUCCUCCGCCGGCGAAGACCGGUCGACAACCCUCACCUUUCUCUUCUCUCAAUUUUCUUCCGCCACUGCGCCUCCUCUCUCUAUUUUCUCUCCGUCGACGCCCUUUUCUCUUCCUCUCCUCAGCCACGCGAGCUGCUGUCCAGAGAAGACAGCAGCGACCACCUGCUUCUCCUCCACGAGCUCGUCGCCUGCAACAACAAAUCUGGCGAGCUGGACAACAACAACACGCACAGCAACAACGGCAACAUCACCAACAGCGAGCAGCCGCUGCAGCAGCUCUUCCACCGACGAACAGCAACACCAAUAGACUGCCUCACCUCCACCAGCAAACCACCAGCAAACCCCCAAGACCUGCGCCAUCUCCAUCUUCGGUGAGCUGCUGUCCAGCUCCUCAACGUCGCAGCCUCUUCUCCGUUGAAGCCGACGAGCAACAGCAACAAGGAGAAUCGAUGCUCUAGUCAACUGUCCAGCAACAUCGACGACAACAGCAACCACCAAACGCAGCCUCUCUCCAUCAGCAGCUCCGGACAGUGAUGAAGGUGAGGUGCAGUCCAUCGAACUCCAGUCCGAAGCAACAGUGAGGAUGAUCUCCUUUGACACGGCUAGAUCGAUUGGAAACUAUAAAGGUCAAGUGUAUUGUUUAUCAAAAGCGGAUCUGUUCAAGAUCCGUCCGGAGUUUGGAUUUCAAAGUUCAAGACAUGAAGAGUUCAUUUAAAACAAGAUUCAGAUAAUUUUAGUUCUUGUUUUAUUAUUUUUAUUUGUAUAUUAUUUUUUCUUGAUUAUUUUGGCAUGUAAUAAUAAACUCUGUAUAUAAUAAAAAGGAGAAAAUACAUGGGGAGGGAAUAUACUUGCUACUUGCUUAUUUUAUUUAUUUUUUAAUUUAUCAUAAAUUUAUGUGUGUUUGGGAUACAUGUGAUCUAGUUAUAAUACUCAUAUCCACAUGCUUAGGUUUA